UACAGAGGGUGCGAGCGUUAAUCGGAAUUACUGGGCGUAAAGCGCACGUAGGUGGCGACGUAAGUCGGGUGUGAAAGCCCCGGGCUCAACCUGGGAAUUGCAUUCGAGACUGCAUUGCUGGAGUACGGAAGAGGAGGGAGGAAAUCCCGGUGUAGCGGUGAAAUGCGUAGAUAUCGGGAGGAAGAUCAGUGGCGAAGGCGGCCCUCUGGUCCAGUACUGACACUCAAGUGCGAAAGCGUGGGGAGCAAUCAGG
rnacentral:rRNA from 1 species